rnacentral:rRNA from 1 species
CGGGACGGGUGAGUAAUGUCUGGGAAACUGCCCGAUGGAGGGGGAUAACUACUGGAAACGGUAGCAAUACCGCAUAACGUCGCAAGACCAAAGAGGGGGACCUUAGGGCCUCUUGCCAUCGGAUGUGCCCAGAUGGGAUUAGCUAGUAGGUGGGGUAAUGGCUCACCUAGGCGACGAUCCCUAGCUGGUCUGAGAGGAUGACCAGCCACACUGGAACUGAGACACGGUCCAG